rnacentral:rRNA from 1 species
UACGAAGGGGGCUAGCGUUGUUCGGAUUUACUGGGCGUAAAGCGCACGUAGGCGGACUAUUAAGUCAGGGGUGAAAUCCCGGGGCUCAACCCCGGAACUGCCUUUGAUACUGGUAGUCUUGAGUUCGAGAGAGGUGGGUGGAAUUCCGAGUGUAGAGGUGAAAUCCGUAGAUAUUCGGAGGAACACCAGUGGCGAAGGCGGCUCACUGGCUCGAUACUGACGCUGAGGUGCGAAAGCGUGGGGAGCAAACAGG